rnacentral:lncRNA from 1 species
UGACGGCGCCGGCAGGAGUGGCACCUACGUCCUGAUCGACAUGGUUCUCAAUAAGAUGGCCAAAGGCGCCAAGGAGAUCGACAUUGCCGCCACCCUGGAGCAUCUGCGGGACCAGCGACCAGGCAUGGUCCAGACUAAGGAGCAGUUCGAGUUCGCCCUGACGGCCGUGGCCGAGGAGGUGAACGCCAUCCUCAAAGCCUUUCCCCAGUGAGGCCGGAGGCGCCCACGACCGGGGCCCCGUCAGCGCCCACGGACGCCGUGCCCGCCUCUCCUGCGGCAGCUGCCUGGUGAUCUAGUCCUUAAGACUCUACAGUCAGCGCAGCUUAGCAGUUAAAACGUGUGUUUUCGUUCAGCCAAAUAAUAAAGGGAGGUCUACGGGCAGAUGCAAUGAUGGGGGCAAUCAGUUCUUCUAUUUUCGAUUUCUUGAAAAAACUUUAUUUUUCCUUAAAACACACAUCCAUGUUCUUAAUUGCCAAUCAUGUCGUAUGGACGGCACCAUCAGUGUGGUUCCCAGAAGAGGGCUGGUUUGUGACCUGUCACUCUCUGGAGGGUCAGCCAUGCAGGGCGGGGCCCAGAGGGGCCACCAGGCCACCCCAGUAGAAGACAUACUUGGCGUUUGUCCUUAUGACUGUGCACCGGGAGAAACCGCCGGCUUCCGCAGCAGCUGGGUGGACGUGACGGCGACAUUCUGCAGCCUUGGGGUGGAUCAUGAAACACAGUCCUGCCAGCUCCUCAUCCGAUCUGGGCUGCUGCACACCCUCCCCCAAGCACUGCUGGGGGACAGUGACAGCCCCUCCCAAACUUCCACUCCCCCAGGACAGCCAGGGGCCCCUGGGGCAAACGCGUUCCCACCCAGAGUGCCUCCUUCCAGGCCAGCAGACAGGGACACUUGGCAAGGCCCUGGCAGAGCCCCAACCUCCAGACACGGCUUUUAGCUGCAAAUAGGGGUUUACACGUGUGUCUGUCACUUCAGUUGUGUCUGACUCCUUGCGACCCCAUGGACUGUAGCCCGCCAGGCUCCUCUNNNNNNNNGAUUGCCCAGGCAGGGAUACUGGAUUUCACUCAGAUGCAGCUAAACGCUUCCCUGAGGGGUAAUGAAAAUGGAGGGCAGGCCUGCGUGGUGCCCUCCCCAGGAAGGCCUGGGCCCUGCUGGCAUCCGGAGAGGACCAGGAGUGCCCACACCGUGGGGGAAGGGCAGGGAGGCCUGCUGUUGUCUGCUUCUUUCCUGCAUGGGAUCCAGGCAUCUGGGAAGCGGUGGCAGCCGGGCCCCUCCGGGGCUCAGGCUCCUGGCCUCUCGGGCAGUUCCCCGUGUCACACAGACACGCGUCUAGCGACCCUUCAGAUUUGCCAAAACAGCACUUGGGCACCAAGUUACCGCCCCCACCCCAAACAGAAGAGUGCGCUUCACUGGACUGAGCACAGCUGGACGCGGAGGGGGCUGUGCGGCUGCUCCGCGUGGUGCUGCCUCGGUUUAGGGAGUAAGACGCUCCGGUGACCCUGGGCCCUCUGCGUCCCAUGUGGCACACCGUCCGGGCAUCUUAAACAGAUGCCACGCCUCAUAACACGGGACAGGGGAGGUGGCCGACCGGAUGGGGAGAAAGAUGCCAAAAUACCGUUUGUGUCUCUGAAUGGUGUUGUCGUGCGUAUCUGCUUCACCAUGUCGAUCAUUUCCUUCCCAAAGCUGUUUCUCUACCUGGAAUCUAAACAUUUAAUGGAAACUAGUUUAUCUGAACAUAGGAAGCAUAUUCCUACUUGUAAUUCCAAACAUUUUAUGUCUCUUCAGUGUGAGAUAUACAAAUAUAUUUAAUUGUGUCUGAUUAAACUUCUGAUUUCACAUCUGAGUGGUCUUUAUUUGGAUGAGAGAAGUUUUUUGGGUUCUUUUUUUGUGUGUCCCAUCCAUCCUGUUUCCUGAAGCUGUGGGCGUUUAGAUGCCAGAACAAACCGUGCGCCCAUGGAGCUCCAUACUGAGUUCUAGUUUUAUUUGCGGAGCUGGGUGUGUACAGGGGGCCAGAGUGUCGCGUGUGGCUGUGAGUCUAUUCAUUAAAAAGAGAUGAAACAGUCUCGGGUGAGUGUUGGGGCGUGCUCCGCCUCUGGUGUCCCUGCCCCUCUUCACUGCAUGUGUCUGCCCAGGGAGCGGCCGGGAGCGGUGGCCCAUCUUUGCUGCCCACAGGGGAGGGCGGCUCCGCAUCUCACAGAGACACGAGCCGCCCCAGGAGCCUCUCAGGCCCGGGACCCCCUGGGAGCAGUGAGACCCAGCCGGACGACCCUGCCGCCGUGACCCGCCGCCCCGCUCUCGCCUGUGCGGUCUCCGCGGGCAGUGGUGAGACGCGGGGGUCUGUGCUUCCAGAGCAGACACAGGUGUUCCUUUCUCAGGAAAUCAGCCCCCCCCCCCCCCCCCCCNCUGCAGGGCACCCAGCUCUGCUGCAUAGGCUCCGCCCCUGCGGGCCCUUCCUUCCCUGAGCUCGCUUCUCAUCGGGGCCCUGCCCCAGGUCUGGCACACUUCUGCUGUCCGUGUGCUGGGAGUCGCUGCCAUUCAUGCACACACACUUGACAACGGGUGGCACGUCUCGAGACGCGAGCGUGUGAGUCUGCGUGGGGCCUUAAGAGGCCCCUCCAUCCAGGGUACUCGGGUGCUGAGCAGGAUGGACAUUGAAAAUGUCAUGCAGAGCCAGCUCUGAAGACAGACGGGAUGCAGACGGAGGGCGUGCCCUCAGGCUGGGGAACCACAUCCACGUGCCCACAUGGGGCCAGCCGCCCUGCGGUCAGCACCCCCGAGCUGACGGGCCCGCAGGAGCUGGCUUCAGUGCCCUGGGAGUCCAGCGUCAGCAGCUCCCCCGUACACGCCGGCGGCCGCUGUCACCCGGCCUGGCGAGGCAGCGGGGACGUGCUCACCCACAGGCCAGCGACUCCUCUGUGGAGCUGGGUCACGGUCUCGGGGCCUGCAGGACUGUGUCCACAUGUCUGCGUGCUCUUCAGAUUCUCACCUGCAGACGCCACACGUGCUUAAGUUUAAUCUGCAUUCGCAGUGUCUUCCCCUACCGUGCUUAAGGUCUAGGCAAUCCCCCAGACAACAGUAAAGUCUCGAUUGGCCAGACUUGCUGAUUUCUGGGCUGCAAACACACCCGCCAGGAAUGGUGUUAAUGCCAGCUCACUCGGUGAACUGCGAAGACAGCUGCUAGAGUCGCGGGAGGGAAGUGCCGUCCAAACAGGAAGGGAUGCGUUUUGAGUGUUUAUCACUGAUGUCUUCAUCUAAUGUGUCAGUUAACAUAAUUUGAUUUUAAUUGUGGCUAUAUUUAACAACCAGCCUGUAACACUCCCAGAAAUUUUAAGUCUGCUCCUGCAAGUCCACAGGAGCCGGCUGUGGUACACCUCUGCCUCGAGACCAUGGAGAAGUCUGCAGAAAGGCCGGCCCCACCAUCCAGCCCGAAGAAGGUGGGCGCCCUGUCUGAGAGGCCGGGGCUUGCUCCCCACGCCCAGGGGACACAGGGCGUCCUCAACAUGAACAGGAUGAAAAGCUGAUGAGACGCGNNNNNNNNNNNNNNNNNNNNNNNNNNNNNNNNNNNNNNNNNNNNNNNNNNNNNNNNNNNNNNNNNNNNNNNNNNNNNNNNNNNNNNNNNNNNNNNNNNNCUCAACGUGAACAGGAUGAAAAGCUGAUGAGACGCGGAUGAAGCCCUGAGGUCUCCACCUCACGGAGGCAAAACGGCUCAGAUAGACCACAUGCAAGCCCCAGAGGAGACAUCCCUGUGGGGCUCAGCUCCGGAUGAACCGUCACCGAGCCCAGGAAGCCAAGGUCACCGCUGUGAUGACGCGAGGUGACGUGACUCCGGAAGACAGUCGCAGAUUUAAACUCCGUAAAUGCCAGUGAGGAGAACAGCACAAAACGAGAGCAGGGGGCUCUGAAAAAGAACCAGCAGGCAAGACGGAGCAGCAGCCGCGUCCUAGAAACAGAGGCCAGGCUGCCCGAGGCGAAGACAGAGAUGGUGCGGGAGCCUGGGGGCCGAGCUUCCAGGCACGAAGGAAGGGUCUCAGGAUGAGACGAAGUCAGGAACUACCUACCAUCUUCGCACAGUGAAACGUGGUAGCCAGACAUCCCAGCCAUGGUUCUGAAACGUGCAGAAAUAUUGAACAACCAUGUUGUGUAACAAGAACUUACAUAGCGUUGAAGGUAAACACUACUUCAAAAACCAACAAAGUUGUGGGAAAAGAUGAGAUUUGUGGUUACCAGAGGCAGGAGGUGGGAGGAAGCAGAAUUGGAUGAAGGCUGUCAAAGGUACAAGCUUCCAGUUAUAAGAUAAGUAAGUACCAGCGAUGUGAUUUACAACAUGAUAGAUAGAAUUAACACUGUGUUAUAUAGGAAAGUUCUUAGAGUGAAUCCUGAGUUCUCAUCACAAGGAAACAAUUUGAUUUCUUUAAUUUUGGAUCUGUUUGAAAUGAUGGGUGUUUACCGUAAUUAUCGUAGUCAUCAUUUCACGAUAUUUGUGUCCGGUCGUUCUGUACNNNCCUUGCUCACCCCAUGUGCGUGUAAAUUAUAGCUCAUUAGACUGAAAGGAGAGAGGAAAGGAACCCAACCAAGCUCUGGAAGGAAACCCAAGGGGAGCAGUCAUUCAGAAACCAGUGAACGCCAGGCUCAUUUUACAGGCAGUCCAGAUGAGACAGAAGGGAGGCAGCAGCUGAAGCCGAGCUGUGGAUGGAGGAUGGAGCUGCAGACACGCCGUGAGCGUGCGACGACGUGACGCGUGCAGCUCGCAGCGGGCAGGACGCAUGCGCUGAACCAGGGACGGAAAAGGUUGCCCAGGCUCGCAGGAGUGGCAGUCCACUCCAGGGCGGACGCCAAGGCUGCAUCCAGGGUCCACAUUCCAUCCCGUCUCAGCCGGGAGAGCCGGGCCCUCUGCACCCUGCCCACACCCAGCUCCAACUCAGAGCCAGCA